UAAUUGUAUUGACUAGAAUGAUACAGAUCUUUUUUUUAUUACUAGAAUAUUUUCGAUACCAAGCGUACCAUUUUUUUACGUUAUGAGAAAAAACGUAUUUACGAGAAUGCCAUUACUUUUCGCUGCCACGUAGGCAAAAAACCGGCGCCACGGAGGAAUUCGCGUCCGUAUUUUCAUUAAGUCAGCUGUUAAGCGAUAGAUACGUAGUUACGGCCGAUUUAUCUUUACGUUACGGCUGACUUAAUACAUACGAUUGACUUAAGUGAAAGUGGCUGACUUAAAACUAUAAGUCAGCUUGCCGAUACAACUGAUUUACAGAAAUCCGGCUGAGUUAUGUGAUCACGGCUGACUUAAUGAUACAAAUGACGGCUGACUUAUACAUCGGCGGUUUGAUUUCUGGAAAAUUUGGCUGAGUCGUGGUUAAGAAACGGCUGAGAAACUUUUUUUCAGCUGAGUAAAGGAACAUGGAUGGGCUGGGUUAUUGAAGCCACGGCUGAGUUAUGGGAUGCUGUUACGACUGGGUUUGUAUUAGUCAGCCGUUAAAGCAUGGAUAAACAGUAAACUCAGCUGCUUUGCGGCUGACGUAUGAGCGAAAGAUUAAUUACUAGAAUGUUCUCGUUUGAUGGCUGAUUUACGUAACGAUACGGCUGACAUAUGGUUGUUCAUCCUUAUUGCGGCUGACUUACCGUCAAAAGAUUAAUUACUAGAAUGUUUCCAUGUAUCGGCUGACAAAGUGUAAACAUGAUGGCUGACUUAUUUUGACUGAGUUACUGAUUUGUUUGUCGGCUGAUUAAUCGAUGUUCCAUGUCAUCUGCCAUGUCAUCAACUCGGAUUUGACAUGUCAUCACUAACGGUCGCCCAAUUUACAACUGAGUUACGAGACCUUUCAGUUGUCUUCUUCAUCUUAUUUUUGAAUGAUUACACAGCCUUUCUUUUCUUCUUCAUCAUCUCAGUUAUCUAUCCUCUUCAUCUUUCUCAUAUGGUAAUGGAUCCCGUUAUUAUUGUUUCCGGUAAAUGGAUUAUGAAAAAACGAUAUGUAUUCAACGUCGACAGUAGAGGGUGUAGAGUUCUUCAUUUAGGUGAGAAAACUAAACUUGAAGAUUUCACAAAGUCUGUCAUCGACGAUUACGGUUUGAAUGAUUUGAAGGUUCAUAUUCUGCUUAGCUACAUGUUUUCGAAUAAAACAUUGAAAACAAUGGCGCAUAACACUCCACCAGUUUACGUGUCCAACACUCGACAAUUGCAAUGUUUUCUAAGCUUAAAGAAAAGCGAACAACAACGUCUCUGUGUGGAGAUUACAGAGAAAAAGGAUGACAGCUCAGACGUAGAAGCUUCAGAAGAAGAAGCUUCAGAAGAAGAAGCUUCAGAAGAAGACGCUUCAGAAGAAGAAGCUUUAGAAGAAGAAGCUUUAGAAGUUGAGUCUAUACAGAAUGGGAGUUACGAUGGUUGCAGUUUGGAGGAUGAACAAGAUGAAAUUGAGAAUGACUGCUUUAGUAACGUUGAAAUACACGACGUAGCCGGAGAAGAUGAAAUAGGCAAAGAAAACGAAGAAGAUGAUGAAUUUGAAAGUCGAUUUGAUAUGUUCGAUGACUCGGACGGUGCGUCAUCUGAAGAUGAUAACUUCAGCACAUACGGUGAGUCUCCUAUCGAAGAAGACGAAGAUUCACCAACGCUACCUUCCAAGAAGAGAUAUCAGAACUUCUUGAUGAGCGAAUCUAAAGGGAAUCUGGAGGUUUUGAAGUUGGAGAUGUCGUCGUUAGACCUUGCGGUAGGACAACGAUACUUGACUAAAAAGCAUUUGAAGAGACGACUGAAACUUUUUACAGUGAGGCAUCAAUUUGAUUUUGAUGUAGAAAUAUCAAACCUGACAACAUACGUUGUUAAGUGUUGGGUUGAUGGAUGUACAUGGAGAGUUCGUGCAUCUACCGAAGGAUUGUCCCCGCAGUUUUAUAUUCGUAUUUACGACUCGGAUCAUGCAUGUUCUGUAACUGAGCGUUCUAAUCGAUCUCGAAAUGCAACACCGGAUAUUUUAGGAGAGUUGUACAAGAACUUUCUCGGCGACGUUGGUCCGGCCGUUCGCCCUGAGAGUGUCGGAAUAGCUAUCACUAAGCAGUUUGGUGUAAAGGUAAUUAUGUUACAACGGCUGAGUUAUGGUAGAGUAUAGGCUGGGUUAUUUUAUGUUAGAAAUGGCUGAGUUACAAAACUAUGGUUGAGUUAUGUUUACGUUGUGACCGUCUUAAUGAUAUGAUGUGGCUGAGUUAUGUAAAUUGUUUUUUCAUGUGAGCAGAUGGAAUAUUGGAAAUCACACCGGACGCUUAAAUGUGCAAGGGAAAUCGAUGAGGGCACACCUGAGUGUGGUUUUGAACUCUUGCCUUCUUACUUAUACAUGAUAAGAAGGGCAAAUCCGAAUACAGUUACGCGUCUUCAAAUCGAUGAGCUUGGAAGAUUCAUGUAUGUGUUUCUUGCGUUUGGUGCGAGCGUUAAUGGGUUUCCUUUCAUGCGCAAAGUUGUUGUCGUCGACGGUACGUUUCUUAAUGGUAAAUAUAAAGGGACGCUACUCACAGCACUAGCUCAGGAUGGUAACUUUCAGAUUUUUCCAAUAGCCUUCGCAGUGGUUGACACUGAAAAUGAUGAUUCGUGGAAUUGGUUUUUUACGCAACUAAAAGUGUUGAUUCCUGACCAGGAGGGUCUUGCGAUAAUAUCAGAUAGGCAUAACUCGAUAGGGAAAGCAAUUACAAAUGUGUAUCCGUUAGCUGCUCGUGGAAUAUGCACCUAUCAUUUGUAUAAAAACAUAUUGGGACGGUACAAAGGAAAAGAUGUAUUUCGGCUGGUGAAGAAAGCGGCGAGAUGUUUUAGAAUGUCUGACUUUGAUAUGAUUUUCGAGGAGAUUGAAGCACUUAAUCCUGAUCUCCACGGCUACCUCGAAAGAGCUGAUGUCAGACUGUGGACACGUGUUUAUUUCCCGGGCGAGAGGUACAAUUUGAUGACUACGAACAUAGCGGAAUCAAUGAACAGAGCAUUAUCGCAUGCUAGAGGUCUUAACAUUGUUCGAAUAUUGGAAUCGAUACGGGUUAUGAUGACCAGAUGGUUUGCUGAACGAAGAGUGGAUGCCAGAUCGCAGUCAACCACACUCACGCGCGGUGUGGAGAAACUAUUACAAGUAAGUCAGUCGUAACAGUAAAAUAAGUCAGUCUUUAAAUCUAAUAAGUCAGUCGUUAUAUUGCAUAAGCCAGCUUUAUAAAUAAUAAGUAAGCCGUUUCACGAAUAUUGGGUUUUGUUAAUAGGGACGUGUAAGUGCCUCCCGGGAUUGGACGGUUCAAAGGAUUGAUGACCAUCACACUGAAGUUAAAUAUGGCGCUGCUGGCGAGUCUUUGAAUGUUGUUAAUUUGGUUGAGCGAAAGUGCACAUGUCGGCGUUUCGAUGUCGAGAAAAUACCAUGUGUACACGCAAUCGCAGCUGCAGAGGAAAGAAAUGUUUCUCGUAUAUCACUGUGCAGUCCUUACUAUAAAAGCACUUAUUUAGCUAGCGCAUACGCUGAAUCGGUCAUGCCGGUUGACUCAGCGCUACCUGUUCCAGAUAACGUGGCUAACGUACAGUGCUUUCCACCGUUUAUUCGUCAACAACCGGGAAGACCUAAAAAAAAUAGGAUGAAAUCUGCUUUAGAAGUUGCACUUGCAAACAAACGUCCUAGGAAAGAGCACAUAUGUUCUCGUUGCAGUCAAAGUGGACAUAAUGCGAGAACUUGUCCGAUAUAAGCAAUUGCUUUUCAUGUUGUUUUGUAAUACGGCUGGGUUUUGUGUUGUAAUACGGCUGGGUUUUGUGUUGUAAUACGGCUGGGUUUUAUUUUCAUUGAUUUGCACAACGGCUGGAUUAUUAAUUGUAAUACGGCUGGGUUUUGUGUUGUAAUACGGCUGGGUUUUUUUGUUUUAAUGUUCUAUGACGGCUGCGUUAAUGUUUUUCAAAUUUUGUAUUGUGGUUGGGUUUUUAUUUUCAUUGAUUUGCCCGCUUCCCAUUACUCAAGAGAGACACAGACAUCGAAAAACGAAAUGUCCGUACUUAAUUGCCCUACGUUACGUAAUAGCCCCUACGUAAUUAUUGAUUAUAAAGUGGAAUACGAAAGUAGCGAAUUAAAUUAAGAGAAAUUAAUCUUCAUUGGCUGAGAUAAUGUUACUCACACGCCUAAUAAUUGUCGUGAUUUCUAAUGUCAGCUCUUUUAUUCAAACGCAGUUGAAAAAAACUUCCCCGCUAGAAACACGAAACGUCGCGAAGUCAACUAAGGCUGAGUUAUUGUAAUACACGGCUGAGUUAUGGAUUAAAUUCCCGCUCAAAAUAAGAAAUAAGAAACGCCGCGAUACGAAACUACAACCGUUAACUGCAGAUAAAUAAGGUACUUCUCAAACAAUUACACAUCUUCAACUCUCUAUCUUUUACACAACUGUCCUCUCAGAGAAAAUGGAAUAUUUCCCUCUGCUUGAAUUGCCUGAAGAUCUUCAGGCAAUGGUGGUUGAACGUGUGGCCCGUAACUCCUUCCAAGAUCUCUACCGCCUCAGAGCAUCGUCCAGGUCGAUGAAGGCGUUAGCAGAGAUGCGUAGGGUAUACCAUUAUUUCGAUGUGUUAUCCUUUCCCUGGGGUCUCAUUAUGCCAUCUCAGUUGUUGAAAACUUGCUACGCUGAGAACAAUCCAAGCACAAUUUAUGUAAAGGGUGUACAGUUUUUCUACUCAUACGAUGAGCAAGAUUAUGGCCUUUCUCUCCUCAAGCGUGCAGCAGAUGCAGGAUAUGAGCGUGCAGUGUAUACACACGCUAUGACUCAAGCAAUCUUUUACGGUGAUGCGCAGUAUUUUCGGAGAAUUCCAAGAGCAACUGUUGACAGGGUCGGGAAACUUGUUCGAGAUGCGAAAUGGGGAUGGGGUUUGUGGCAUACUGACGAGUUCCGUCAAAUUAAGGCCAUGUUCACUUCUACUUAUGUUCCGUCCUUCUACCUUUGCCAAUGUGCAAAUGUUGUGGACCGACAAUGUCUCUGCCUAUGGCACAUUGAUGUGACUAAGGACGACAACAUGUGUGAGCGCUGUUUCUGGAUCAAAGAGAUUUCCUUGUUCUUUCGUGAUUUUGAACCGAUAAGCCUGUUUAGGGACACAAGUAAGUGGUGAAGAUGUCUCUGCAUCAGAAUCUUAUCUUUUUUUUUGCUAUGCCAUUAUGUAUGUCGAACAAAAAAUUAUAUAUUCUGUUUUUAUGGCUGACUUAUUUUCAUCUUAUGGCUGAGUUAUUUUCAUCUAAUGGCUGACUUAUUUUCAUCUUAUGGCUGAGUUAUUUUCAUCUUAUGGCUGACUUAUUUUCAUCUUACGGCUGAGUUAUUUUCAUCUUACGGCUGAGUUAUUCUCAUUUAUUCAUCUUAUGACUGUUUUUUGAUUGUUCACCUAAACGUUAAGACUGAUAUUAUUACAUGUUACGGCUGAGUUGUUGUUUCGGAAGAAAUUAACAACGGCUGAGUUAAAUCCGAGUUACAUAAACAUAGACUGACUUAUGAGUACAGAAUCUGAGUAAACAAAGAAGUAGUAGUAGCAACUAAUACAUUUAAGACUUCAUCCUAAGACAUUCAAUAAUUUUUAUGAUCUCAGUUAUGUCUUUCUUCAUAUCAUCUAAUUCUGCUUUUAUAGCGGCCAAAUCCUGCUCUAUCGUCGCGAGUUUGUUUGCCACAACUACAAACUCUUCAUCAUGUGCUUCAUCAAGCCAUUUGAAAACAUGGUUUUGACCCGAAUUUGCUCCACAUCGAUAAAAUCUUCUACCCGGAUUCUUUAUUGUACCUGACGUUAACACAAUGGUAGCAGCUCCACAGUCGCACGUCCUUGGAAUUCCACGCUGUAGAUCCAUCUAAUUUAUACAUCAUAGCACACAAAAAAUAAUGCAAAAUCGAACAAGGCCAAAAUACAAAAAAUAAUUCAAAAUCGAUUUUGGACGAAAGAGACUUACUUUAGGUUUUAGAAGUCGACUCUGGUUUUUCCUUUAUCUUUUACUUGUAAAUAUUGGAAAUAUAAUAGGGAAAUCAUAUUAAAUAUAAAGAUCACGCGUGUCCAAAUAAAAUAAACAUAUAAAGACCUCGAUAUCGUAAAUUACUCGGACAUGCGUGUCAGGACAUAACUCGACACUGAGUUAAAUUAUGUAUGACUCUUUUGGCCAACUUUUAUUUUUCGACAUCAUUAAAUAUUAACAAUUUUACGACUGAGGUUUAGUUUUCGGUAUUAUUAAUUAUUAACAAUGUUACUUCUGAGUUUUAUUCUUCGGCAUUAUUAAUUAUUAACAAUGUUACGGCUGAGUUAUAUUUUCCGGCAUUAUUUACUUUACACAAGGAAAAAAAAAAAGAAAUCAUUUUCGUCCCAACGCGAAAAAAAAAGAAAAGCUCUCGACGACAGGCGAUUUCGAAGCGUCUCGAUACGAAGGUAAAACCGAAGCCUCUCUUUUGCAGAUUUGUGGAUUCAGCUUAGGUUCGAUGAUGUUUUCUUCCCAUUCUUUUCUUGUUUGCAGAUGCCUAAUUCGCACAAACCUCAUUUCUUGAAGCCUCUGCUUCCCGAUUUCCACAGUGGCGUGACAAUACCACUUGGCUUCUUCUCACAGCACAUAGAAGGGAAGACAAACCGGAAAACAUGGAAACUAAGAUCGGACGCUACAGAUCAAACUUGGGAAGUGAUACAAGAAGGCAGGAGACUCACCGGAGGUUGGAAAGAUUUCACCACAGCACAUGACCUUCAAAUCGGUGACAUUGUCAUCUUCAAACACGAAGGAGAUAUGGUGUUUCAUGUCACACCAUUUGGUCCUAGCUGUUGUGAGAUUCAGUAUACACAUCCUCACAUCAUCAAGGAAGAAGCCGAUGCGGAUGAUGCUCCUUCUUUCUCAUUUGACUAUUGUUUUCAGGCUGAGGUCACUGCUUCGAAUCUAAAAGAAGACAAACUUGUGAGUCGAUUUUCAGUUAUAGACCAUAUUUAGUUAGUUAUUAACAUAUGGUUUGAUCUGUUCAGUGUCUUUACGUUCUGUGUUUGCAGUAUUUAGUUAGUUAUUAACAUAUGGUUUGAUCUGUUCUGUGUCUUUACGUUCUGUGUUUGCAGUAUCUUCCUGAGGGAGCUACGACUUGUACUGCUUUGAACAAACAAUGCCAAGAGAUAAUACUUGUCAACAAAGAGGGAAAUUCAUGGACUGUGAGUUUGCGAUUUAGCGAAGCAGACGGCAUGUAUUACAUCAGAAGAGGCUGGAGAAAGUUCUGUCGUGCUAACAGAUGCGCCAUAGGAGACUUAUUUGUGUUCAAUGUGGUUGGAGAUGGGAAAACUACUCCACUAAUGUGUGUAUGUCCGGAAAGGGAAGAGUGAUUUUGAACCUAAACUUAUGUAUGUCGAACCAGAAAUUUAUGUAUGUCUCUUUUU